rnacentral:tRNA from 1 species
GCUUGGGUAGCUCAGUGGUAGAGCAUCUGCCUUUGGCUCAGGUAGUGAUCCGAAGGUCCUGGGAUCAAGUCCCACAUCGGGCU